ensembl:lncRNA DBIL5P2 diazepam binding inhibitor-like 5 pseudogene 2
CUUCAUUAAAAGGCUGUGUAACCAAAACUUGGUAUUAUACUUUCUUCUUAGUAUCUUGAAAUGUUUGUUAAGGAGUUAUAAUUAUACCACUCUCUACUGAGAGUUUGAUCAGUGCUACAACACACAUAGCCCUGUACCUACAUAGGGAUUCUCAAUGAAACUCAGUGAGGAAGAUACAUCAUCAUCAUCAUCCCUACUCUAUCGAUGAAGAAACCUGAUGAGCCUUCUAGCACCAGGUGUCACCUAGAAAGGACAGAGGGGCCUGGCCUCCCCUCCCACAAUGUGCCAAGUGGAGUUUGAGCUGGCCCACACUGCCCUCAAGCAGCUGAAGGGUACUGUGUGCGAUCAGGAGAAAACUGCUGGUGUACAGCUUCUGCAAACAGCCCACCCAGAGCGACUGCAACAUCCCUGCCCCUUCAGCCUCAGAUGUGAAAGCCAAGGCCAAGUAGGAGGCAUGGAAUGUGAACAAAGGGAUGUCUAAGAUGGACACCAUGAGGAUCUAUGUUGCCAAAGUAGAAAAGCUGAAGAAGAAUGAGGCUGGCUAAGGACACAUUAGCAAACACAAGGAAAGCAGCAUGGCUCCUCUGGUACAGAAUGCUCUUCCUUAAAAACCUUGAUGGCUGAAAUGUCCUGAAACCAAAGCAAGUUUAGCUGAGACAUCAAUAAAUCACUUAAACUGCAUGAGAGUGACUGUCUGCUGCUGGAAAAGAGAAACACAGUGACUGUGAGUGCUCGGGAGGUGUCCAAAUGUACAAACUGGUUUUUUGUAUGGUUUUGAGUGGAGUUCCCAGCUUUCCUAUUAUAAGAGUUAGGUAGGCAUUUGGCAGGAGUAGAGGGGUUAGGGGGAAAAUGUGCUAUGGAAAUGCCCAAGGGCUGAGGUCAGUGAGACCAUUCUCCAGUGACAGCCUCUUGGGAGGCUGAGGCUCCAACCCUUUACCUCUUCAGGGUUGAUUCACUAAUAACCCAGCACUAUAAGGGGAAAGGGACUCUGUCCUCCAAAAAGCUGAAGUCAAGUCCAAAAGGCCCCAUUGGCACACAGGCCCUAAGAAGUUAAUGUUUUUAGGGAGACCAAGUUUUUAGUGAUAAUGUGGUGAAACAAUUGAUGCAGCACAAUACAGCAGAUGAGAAACAAUGGAGCACAUAGUGUCAAAAUACCAGCCUCAGAAAGACGCAUCUAUGGCCUAGCAACCAAAAUUUUCUUGAGGUUAUUCUGCCCCUAACUCUGGUUUCUGCUUGGGGAUGUUUGUGGAACAAUAUGCAUAUGUAUGUAUAUGUGGGAUUUGUUACAAGAACACAACAUACCCCUCGACCUAUGCAAGAGCCAGAGUGUCUAAGCCCAACUUCUACUCCUCACUGUUAGUUAUCGUGGAGGCAUCAUUGCACAACCAAUAUGCCUGGUGGCUGGAGUAUAGACUGCUAAAUGGUAUUCAGCGAAGCAGGUCUAUAGUGACAUGAGAUUUCCUGGUACUUCUUCCUUAAUUAAAAAUUAUAUUCAUAGAUCAUGACAUCAGGUCAGUUCCAGUUCUUGCUGGGAACAAUAAUAGAAACAACAACCGUAAAGACUUCAGAGAACAGACCGGGCGUGGUGGCUUAUGCCUGUAAUCCUAGCACUUUGGGAGGCCAAGGUGGAUGGAUCACGAGGUCAGGAGAUUGAGACCAUCCUGGCUAACAUGGUGAAACCCCGUCUCUACU